CUCCAGCCUAACAAAAGAGAAUGAAACCAGAAAAUGUUUCUCAUUCCUCCGCUUCAUGAAUGUCAGUGUACAAGAGCUGUCUGAUGCUGUCUUAAGAGGGCUGGUCUCAAGGUGGCUAAUGUUAUAUGCUGCUCUUCAGU